rnacentral:rRNA from 1 species
UUGCACUGGUCAAUCUAGUGGCGAACGGGUGAGUAACAACGUGGGUAACCUGCCCAUCAGAGGGGGAGUAACAUCCGGAAACGGAUGCUAAAACCGCAUAGGUCUUCGAGCCGCAUGGCUUGAAGAGGAAAAGAGGCGCAAGCUUCUGCUGAUGGAUGGACCCGCGGUGCAUUAGCUAGUUGGUGAGGUAACGGCUCACCAAGGCCGUGAUGCAUAGCCGACCUGAGAGGGUGAUCGGCCACAUUGGGACUGAGACACGGCCCAAACUCCUACGGGAGGCAGCAGUAGGGAAUCUUCCGCAAUGGACGCAAGUCUGACGGAGCAACGCCGCGUGAGUGAAGAAGGUUUUCGGAUCGUAAAACUCUGUUGUUAGAGAAGAACAAGUGCUAGAGUAACUGUUAGCGCCUUGACGGUAUCUAACCAGAAAGCCACGGCUAACUAC